GCCGCGACCACAACUGGAUACACAUUUGAGCUGAUGUUAGCAGGGAGAUAGGCUGCAGGAUUAAUCCUGCAUUGAAUUAUGAGGUUUGUGCUACUGAAUACACAGACAGUGGCAUCCACAAAGCUAACAUAUAUCAAUUGACUGUCACACGAGAAUGUCGCAUGCGAUAUGGGAGUUGAACCUUCAGGCAGUACCCACUGACGGAGACACUCUAGCUUGGUGGCGUCGUAAAUGUCUAACUGUCCCUCGUUAACAGCUAAGAAGUG
rnacentral:misc_RNA from 1 species